GACCCGUCUUGAAACACGGACCAAGGAGUCUAACAUGUGCGCGAGUCAUUGGGACUUGCUUAGGCCCAAAGGCGAAAUGAAAGUGAAGGUCGGCCCUGGACGCCGACCGAGUUGGGACCCGGCGUUGCCCAUUACAGGUGCGCCGGAGCACCAACGACCCGUCCCGUCCGCGACGUCGGUGGGGCGGAGUGUGAGCGUACACGUUGGGACCCGAAAGAUGGUGAACUAUGCCUGGGCAGGACGAAGCCAGAGGAAACUCUGGUGGAGGUCCGUAGCGAUUCUGACGUGCAAAUCGAUCGUCAGACCCGGGUAUAGGGGCGAAAGACUAAUCGAACCAUCUAGUAGCUGGUUCCUUCCGA
rnacentral:rRNA from 1 species